GCCGCAGUAUGCAAACCGGAAAAGCAGCCGUACUCAAAAUGCGGUGCGUGCGGGUUCGAUCCCCGCCUGCGGUAC
rnacentral:tRNA from 5 species